GCGCAGCAGUCGCGAAAACUUUACAACGCGCGAAAGCACGAUAAGGGGACUCUGAGUGCCUCCUAAGGAGGCUGUUCUGAUGUCUAAAAAGCAACAGAAGUAAGGGCUGGGUAAGACCGGUGCCAGCCGCCGCGGUAACACCGGCAGCCCAAGUGGUAGCCACGUUUAUUGGGUCUAAAGCGUUCGUAGCCGGCCAGGUAAGUUCCUUGGUAAAUUUAGCCGCUUAACGGUUAAGCUUUCAGGGAAUACUGCUUGGCUUGGGACUGGGAGAGGUCAGAGGUACUCCGGGGGUAGGGGUGAAAUCUAUUAAUCCCUGGGGGACCACCGGUAGCGAAGGCGUCUGACCAGACCCAGGUCCGACGGUGA
rnacentral:rRNA from 1 species